CAAAGGUUAGAGCUCUUCCAGAAUGUGUCUAGCAGGCUUUCUGGUUCUUAGCAGAAAAUCCUCC
rfam:Neotoma lepida isolate 417 scaffold_875, whole genome shotgun sequence.